UUCAGUUUUGUCUGUGACGUCAGAAGCGCCCCGCAACACCCGCAAUGAAUUUGUGCAUAACCUCCUUAAACGAGCUUGCGUACUGAACCACUAAUUGGAUUAUAUUCAACAAUUCGAUCAUGCAAAAUCAAACAAUAAGCUGAUGUUUGAGCUGGAAAUUGUGUUGUUGAGUCAAAUUCAAGUCGAAUAUCUACUAGUCCAGAUUUCAAAAAUUCAUUUUGCUUUGAACCAUCUAUGACAAUAAAUGGAGCUUCUUCCAAAAAAUUUUGUCUUGUAAAUAAUGGUUGUGGUGUUACUGUGUAAUAGUAGGAAGCUUGGAAAUAUGCAAACUGUAACGAAAUUUAUUAUUUUGCUGGUUCUCGAAAUAAAUAAUCAACAGAAAGAGCUUGUUAACGAGUAAUGAUUUCUGAUUAUCUAUUUGCUGUCGUGCGAAUUGUUAAUAAUUGAUUCGAGUUGAUUAUGAAUAAUUCCAAGGGUCACUGUUAUAGCUCUGUGGAGGGUCAAGUCUGCUACGAGUGGUGUCAGUGUGGCACAUGUUUCUAUUGAAGCCGGGUAGGGACAUUGAGUGCUUACGUGCAAUCGUACAAACGUAAUCAGACAAACCGAAGUUAGUGUACGUGCGAUCGUACGAUUGCACGUACGCACUCAAGAAAAAAUGAUAGAAAUCAGCGCGCGCAUGCUUAAUCCGCCAUAUUAUUUAUGCGGAAAGCGUGCUGCGCAUGUCCGGGACGAUAGAUGGGAGAGUGCGCGAGUGGGAGAAGAGAGCCCUCAGUAGCUAAGCACUCAACGCCGUCGUGAAACGACACAACUUGUCUGGCUCUCGAACUGAUCACUACCUUCUCUUGACUGGCUCUCUAUGGUUCACUACUAGUUCUCUCGACAUCGUUUGGAUAUUUCGUAAAGGCUCUAUGGGUAUCAGAAAUUAAGUCCUGGUGAAACUCUGUCCGAAUUUCCAAUGACAGUCUAAUACUAAUGAUCACGCUAUAUGGCUCUCUUAUUAUAAUGAUAAUUAUUAUUAUAUUCUUACUACGCAAUAUGUAUACGAUGGUUAGACUAUCAUCACACAUAAAUGUGUAUGUGUGAGUUCACGAAUGGAUCGCUGUAAAUAAUAACAAUAAUAAUAAUAUUGAGAUAUCAAGAGGCACGGUAGUGCCUCGAGUCAAGUAUGAGAAAGAAAGUACGCGUGUGGAUGAUAAUAUGUGUGAGAUGAGAUUAACUACUACUACCGUGCCUUAUUAUACAUCAAAUAUUUUGCCCCCUUUCGUCGCGAAUCUAUUAGAAAUUUAAUUAAAAUAUGAUAGACUUGAAUGAGGAUGCUGAGGUUUGGUAAUGAUCCCAUAAAUCGAUGUCGACCUUUUUUUAAAAGAAAAAAUCAGAUUUUUCCGUUGCGUAAUUAUAUUUAAAGCAUAAUUUUGAUAUUUACGGUCUUUGCAUUUUUCUCAAAUCGACCAGAUUUCUUCCGUUCAGUUGGUAAUAAACUUUGCAAUUAUUUCUUUUUUCUUUUUUUGUGUUGCUAUAUUUUGUGUUGCUAUAUUGGCUGCACUGCAUAAUUUUAUUAUUAUUAUUUUAUUUUUUAUAUUCAUUCAUACAUAACCUCCAGAAUAUGUUGCUUCUCACGUCAAAUGCAGUUAAAUGUUAGAAAAAUAAACAACAUAAAUUUAUAAAUAAAUAAUAUAAAUAAAUAUUGUUUGUGAUGGUGACAAAUUAUUAUUUUAUAAAUUUACAAGGAUGAAAGUGUAUUUCCAUUUGAUACACCGGAAUCACCAAAUGAUUAUCCAUCAGUUUGAAAACAUUUCUUGGUUUUAGUCGUGACUUUGUUGAAUAUGAUGAAACUUAUGAAAUAAUAAUAUUACCAAAUUUUACAAGUAUGAAAUAUACAUCAGUUGAUUUACCAGAACAGAUAAUAAAACAAUUACUGGAAUAUUAGAAGCUGAAUCAGCAAUUAAAAUUGGUGAAAGAGAAACAUUACUUACGAAGCUGGUACAUGGGAUGGUGAAGCAAGAAUAAUAACAAAACAUGCAACAACAUUGCCACAAUUAAAUAAUGGUAAAAAAAUACCACCAAGUAGUUGGAAAUGUAAAAAAUGUGAUUUAACACAAAAUUUAGGGUUAAAUUUAACUGAUGGUAGUAUAUUAUGUGGACGUAAAUUUUUUAAUGGUACUGGUGGUAAUGAUUAAUGAUCAUGUAAAUAAACAUUAUCGUACAACUGGUUAUCCACUUGUUGUUAAAUUAAGUACAAUAACAAAAAAAGGGUAUCAAUAUUUCAAAUAUGGAAAAAACUGAAAAAUCAAUGACCGAACUUGAGCUUGAUUUAAAUCAGAAAUUUGGUGAAUGGGUUGUAUUACAAAAAGCAUCAAGUAAAUUAAUACCAAUUUAUGGUGCUGGUUAUACUGGUUUAAAUGAUCUUGGUAAUUCAUGUUAUUUAAAUUGUGUUAAAUUGUGAUUUUUAACUAUAGGUAUAUUAUUUUUUUGACUCAUUCACAUUCCACACACGCCAACAAUGUUAUUAUCAACGAUAAACAAACUGACAAAUGACAAUGUCAACAACAGUGUCAUGUCAGACUACCAAUAAUCAUUGGAUAAUGUAAAAUACAAUACAUAAUAACAAAUAAAAUAGAACAAAAAGCUAUAUAGUUUUAUCAGGAGAAUCUCUAGGAUUUGAUGAUGAAACUGUUGACAUAAAAAGUGGGAUAUUUCAAUAAAGUAUCACACCAACUUGUCAUAAACAAUUGAACCAGCUGGUGAAGCAACUGAAUCAGUUGAUGAUAGUAUUUUUAAAUAAAAUACUUAUUAAUUAACACAAGUAUUAAUUUAAUCAGAUGAACAUACUUGAGGAAGGUGCAAGUACAGCUAUAUUGAUGCAAUAGCAUGUGCACCAUACGUUGAAUGAACCAGCAAAUGCUAAAACACAUUUCAUCAAAUACAACAGCAGAUUCUCCACAACAAUGUGUACAAAAAAAACAGCUGAACUAAAUCGACAAUCAUUUGAUACAAAUAAUACAAUUAUUAGACCACAUAUUAAAUUAUCAUCAUGUUUAAAAUCAUGUUCAUAUUUAUAAAAAAAACAGCACUCACACUUUUUUUUAACGAUAAAUCUAGAUGGAAAAUU